rnacentral:misc_RNA from 1 species
UGCCAACCGAAAAUGAAUGAUUGCAUCAAUCACAAGUAUAUAAAAAUAUAGUGAUUUCAUUAAGUAAAGAAGAUCAUGAGUUGCAGUUAUCAUCAGGAAGGUUAUAAAUUAAUAUUUUUAAAAUAAGUAUUUCAAAGCUAAUGUAACCAAAGCGAGACUAAAUUCUGGCAAAAUGAAUAUAGUUAUCUACUUUAUCUAGCACAUAAGUUACUGAUAGGCUAA